rnacentral:lncRNA from 1 species
AGGAGCCAACAUCAAAGGUUAAUAUCGCAGGGCCUGGAGGUGAGAGAUUCUCCAUGGAUUCUUCUUGUGAAUUGGAGGGGCCAAGUGUCUUUCAUCUUCUAGGCUCCACAUAGGAGGGGCCAGCUCCCCCAGGGAGGCCAUCAAGUCCAGGCCCAGAUGUCUCAUCCCUGCAGCUGACAGACUCUAAACAAGCUAUUGGGCCAGAGAGCCCUCAGAAUGGGGCCAAGUGAGCUGCGUUACUGAGGCAGUCAGCCCUAGGUGGUGAGAGAGGCCCAGGCCAUUCCCUCCAGCUGAAAGUAGCUUCUCUUUUCAGCCCAGUGUGCUCUUCAAGUUGUCAUUUCCUGGUACUUUAACAUGAAAAGGUAAGGAAUCUGAAGUUCAGAGAAUGUAAGUAACUGCUCCAAGGUCAUCCAUGUAGGGUUGAGGGUCUGAACCAAUUCCCUCUCUCCCUAAGUCUACACUCAACCAGUAUACCGUGGCACCAUUUAUUUUGACAAGAAGAAUUACCAACAGAUAAAAAGCAAAAAAGUGAUGUUUCCUCCAAAGGGAAGAUAGACUUCAGGAAUCUGCUUGCACCCCCCUGGCUCUGGGCACCUCACCUGUGCAAUUCCAGACCAGGCCAUCUGUCCUCAAGAGGCCGCUGGCCUCAGAGCCUUCUACCCCGUCAAGAAGAGCCUUUCUCUCCCCACUUAUGGGGGAUCAUCUGCUUAAACUAGGCCGGAGUCAUAAUCAUUCAUUCCAGAAGGGGCUGUGAUUCACAUCUGAGCUUCAGAAAAUGGUUUAGUUUGAUUUAAAGGGGAGAUGAAAGCAAAAUAAAUGCUCAGAUGCUGACAAA